GUGAGUCAUCGAAUCUUUGAACGCACCUUGCGCCUCUUGGUAUUCCGAGGGGCAUGCCUGUUUGAGUGUCAUUGAAACCCUCAAGAGGAAAGUCUUUCGGGGCCUUCUUUUUGGAACUGGAGUGUGCUGGCCUCUUCGUGGAAGAGCCCAGCUCCUCUGAAAUGCAUUAGCGAUGUGACAUCCUCAUGCCAUCACGCUUCUCCAGCAUUGAUAGUCUCUUUCAUGCUUGAGUGUGCUGCGCUUAGGUGGAAAGUUUCGCUCGCUUACAGACCCGUUGGGGUGGAGCCUGCUCCCCCCAUGCUUUGACCAAAUUAACCUCAAAUCAGGUAGGAUUACCCGCUGAACUUAAGCAUAUCAAUAAGCGGAGGA
rnacentral:misc_RNA from 1 species